GACGAACGCUGGCGGCGUGCUUAACACAUGCAAGUCGAACGGAAAGGCCUGCUUUCCCUUGUGGAUUGCGGGUACUCGAGUGGCGAACGGGUGAGUAACACGUGAGUGAUCUGCCCCCAACUUGGGUAUAAGCCUGGGAAACUGGGUCUAAUUCCCGAUAGGACUGCAGGGUGGUGCCUGUGGUGGCAAACGAUUUUCUAGUGGUUGGGGAUGAGCUCGCGGCCUAUCAGCUUGUUGGUGGGGUAAUGGCCUACCAAGGCGGCGACGGGUAGCCGGCCUGAGAGGGUGGACGGCCACAUUGGGACUGGGAUCCGGCCCAGACUGCUACGGGAGGCAGCAGUGGGGAAUAUUGCACAAUGGGCGGAAGCCUGAUGCAGCGACGCCGUGUGGGGGAUGACGGCCUUGGGGUUGUAAUCUCCUUUCGACCGCGAGGAAGCCACCUGGUUGGAAGGGUGGUGACGGUAGUGGUAGAAGAAGCACCGGCUAACUACGUG
rnacentral:rRNA from 1 species